AAGUCCCAUAACGAGCGCAACCCUACCUUUAGUUGCCAUCAGGUAACUGCUGGGGACUCUAAAGGAACUGCCUACGCAAGUAGUGAGGAAGCGGGGAUGACGUCAAAUCAGCACGGCCCUUACGUCCAGGGCUACACACGUGCUACAAUGGCCGAUACAGAGGGCAGCUACCUGGUGACAGGAUGGCAAAUCUCCAAAGUCGGUCUCAGUUCGGAUCGGAGUCUGCAACCCGACUCCGUGAAGUUGGAUUCGCUAGUAAUCGCGCAUCAGCCAUGGCGCGGUGAAUACGUUCCCGGGCCUU
rnacentral:rRNA from 1 species